CACUUUGGUCACAGUAAGAAGUAAGAGAUUUGGGGUUUAAACACACCCCCCCCGUCUGAGCAGGAGCCACUGGCUUUCACUAGCUGCGAAUCCCGAGUCCAGCACUCGAAAGCACCUCAGCCCCACAGUCCAUUUUUUCCUUGUCUUUAAGUGCAAGCGAUGGGAAUUGCUAACCUUGGCUAAGAAAAUUUCAUUUCCCCCAUCAUGCUAAAUGGUUCUGGUCGACAUAUGUUUGUUAUCAGAGAGAGGUGCUAUGAACACAGAGCCAUUUUCUUAGCAGCUCUUUGACUCUGUGUUACCAUAGUCCCACACGGCAUUGGUCCUUUCCCGUUGGGAAGUCAUGAAUAAGAGACUAUGAAGCUUGCACGUCAGAUCUUCCUCAAUUAAUCCACCAUUAGCAUGUUUGGGAUCCUCUACUGGAUGGUUAACAGCAGCUUUGGUAACUGUAUGCUGUCCAUACCCAAUUAUGCUCUGCUAAAAAUGAACUCUGCAGAACAACCUUCCUGAGCUGUCAGUGUCUCCCGUUUUCCUAUUUUAACGCUUGUGUGUAGUGGCAGGCGACAGAUGGUGUAGAUCAGAUCGAUUUGAUUGCAUUAGGCGAUUUUUUUUUCCUCCUCUCCCCCCCGACUCCUUUUCUGGAAGCCCACAUUCAUCUGAGAGGCGAUCGCCGGGGACAUGGGAAGCAAGAGCAGCCGCCGAUGUGUGAAAGCAACGAGACAUGGCCAGCCAGAGGCGCCGGGUCCCUUCCCGGGGUUUGUUAACAUGGUAAUCCGGCACCAGGAGAGAAAGCUGCUUGCUGCUGCCCACAGCCCGUUCCCCAUCACACAUCAGAUGACUCCCUGGUUUUACACACAGUUGGAGUUCUGCUCGAAGCCUGGAUUUAAAGGGAAUCUGUUGCUGCGUGUGACAUCUCUUGCAAGCUCCGAGAGAGAAUUGAUGGAGCACACGGCUAGGGAAUAGGAUGCCAGAGAAGCACAGAGGGAGAAACGAGGCAAUCACCAGGAUGGGAAGGUUCAGCGUCCAUUGGAUAUGGGACAAGAUCACUCGGCAACCCUUGUGGAUUCUCCUUCUUCUAGAGGGGAAUUAUAGUUAUGGAUUUAUUGUCCCGGUGCAGCACUUCCACCGCUACCACCAGCAACAGCAGCAGCUUUCUGACUCUCUUCGGUGACGGGUAUUCUUGGGUGGAUAAUACGGAUUACGUUGUUAUUGCUUAAGAAUACGCGUAGUCGAGGAGAGUACCGGCGGCGGGCAGGCAGGCAGGCAGCGCGACCGCCCCCAGCCCACCAGCUGGCUCCUAACCUCCUCUAGUUGCCAAGAUGGAAAAGGAGAGACUUUGAGAGGCCGAGUGAUUUGUCCAGGAUGAUGCAGCAAAUCGAUGGAACAAAAAGGGAUCAGGCCACUCCGUGCAGUUGAGGAGUGCCUUUAACUGCCCCAUGGGGUUUUCUAGGGAACGGCAUGCAGGUCCCCAAAGAGGCAGCUUCCAUUGCAGGAGUGUUCCUCCAUUAUUUCUGUCCCAUUAUUGCUGUGAACAAUGGAGCAAUACAAAAUGUAUUAUUCAUCUCUCCUACUCAUAAAAUCAAUACCUAUCAAAACACAAAUACAAUUUAAAUCAAAGGGCACUUGUUGAGUGCAGAUCCUACUAAUUAGGUCUGAUUUCCCAACAAUUUCUUAAAUUAUUUAUUCAAGGGAUGGGUGGCAGCCACUUUACGUGCCCCAGAGUGAAUAUUAUAAACCUCUCGUCAUGAUACAGCAAAUGUGAAGUGUAGUACAAUGCAGUGUGAUUUGUAACCCUGAUGAACUAAUGUAAUAUCAAUAGACAUCAAUCUGUGCAGAAAAAAAUCUGUCUCGUCGUAACAUCUAAUGAGAGAUGUCGAAAGCCAAUAACCUUGUGAAACGGGCACAUCUCGGUGAAGGAUACAGCCUGUGCUGCUAGGAAACAAGUAAAAAUGUAAUACCCACCUGCAGUGGAAGUUACUAAACCACCAGCACCACGAAAGAGGUUUGCAUCAUGCAUGGACAUUUGUCAGGAGAGCAGCUCCCUCCAGGCUGGUGCUUAGUUCUGCAAGCAAUUCCACUGUAAUAUCGGAGCCCUUUCUCUUAUGCUGGUACUGCUUUGUCUAGCCCCGUAGUUAACACCCAAACAAUAUUUAUUCCAGAUCUAGUUAAUUACACUUUUAAAGCCUGCAAAGAAAAGAGCCAAUGGUUUUGGAGACUUUUGUGUACAAAUUAGGAAGCAGCUCUCCUGUACAAUGAAAAUUCGCAUUGCCAGUCAUUAAUGUUAGAUGAGUGUCCUUCGGAUUUUAGUCAUAAGGAUUUUCCUUAUGCAGCUUCUUUGGAUUUGAAUUUUCAAACAUACACUCCCAUCCAUACAGCAGGUCUGAAGAUUCCAUCACACCAGCCAUGUGCCAACUGAGAAUCCUUGGUCCUAACAUACCAGCAUUAUACCUACUCACCAAAUUGUUUCCUAUCAGUGAUUCAAAAGAACAGCCUGAAAUACCGGCUACAUUUUCUCCCCAAUUCUUUGAGAAUAGAUGACUUUAAAAGUGAACAUUUUAUCAUUUCACUUUUUCCUUUAUCAUCUGACAACAAUUUAAGAACAAGUGUAAUUUUGAAACCUAAACUAAAUAGCGGAGCCUGGAGCUGCUAUGACUUCAAAGGCAGCAACGCACAAGAGGCUGAAAUGAAAGCAUCAGAGUAAUUCAGAGCUUAAACUUCUUACCCGGUGCCUUCUCCUCUGGCCUUAAUGGUGACCAGGCUCCCAAAAAAGCUGCCAGGAGCCUGAGCAAAAAGCUGCAGUGGUCCAAAAUGCCUAUGUGCUUCAGCUGCUGCAGGCAUUCUGUGAUCUUCCUACACCAUUGGCAGUACUUAGGUGCAAUUGUGCAACCAGGGAUGCAAGGCAGAGCCUUAAUUCCGGAUUUCAUGGCAUUUCAAAGUACAAGUCAGAAUUGUAAUGGUAUUUAAACCUUCCUUAUUAGUUGCACAAUGAGUGUCUUUCAGCUAGUGUUCUGCAAAAUCCUUCCUGGUGGUAUGUAAAAGACACGGGCUGAAAGUCAGAGAGCUGGAAGUUGAAUGCUGGAUAUGUGGAAAUGGAUCACUGAGCCUGAACUAAUGGGAGGAGUAAGGGAGUCUGAAGAAGCACCGUAUUAAGAUAUUGAGGACUAAUAAGGGAAGUAGCAUGGCACAAAGUAUGAAGCAGCAUGGCAUGAAUACAUGGGUUACAUAGGACAAAUUCACCUUUAAUUAUUCAGCUCUCCUGCUUGUAUUUUUGUUGAAUUUAAUUAAUAGAGGUUUGUCUGGCAUGUAUGAAAACAAAAAUCAAUCCCAGAGUUUUUAAGGUGUAAGUCUUAGCUACAUCAAGUGAAAAUAGACAAUCCUACAUGUAAUGUCGUGCGUUUUCUUAUUCCAAUUAAAUGAGAUAUCUGGAAGGAGCAUCAAACAUUGCAGCUACUGUUUAGUAGUAUUUUCCUUUUCUUCUGCCUAAUUCCUUUCACACGUUUAAAAAGUGUGUGAUUGUAUAGUAGUGACUGCAAAGGUUUCCUGAAUUAACACCAUGGACUCAUUCUAAAUGGAGGGUAGGAGCACAUCUGUUUCGAACAGCUUUGUAAUAUGCCUUUUGUGAGUUCAAGCCACAUCCAGUCGUGACCACUUCAGUGAGCUCCUACAUAUACAACUACUAUUUGCAAUUAUAGUAGCCAAUGCACCUAUAAAAUGGCACGAGCAUUUUGGUGCACUGAAAUAGGUUCCUCUUCUCCCCUCUCCCUUAAGAAUUCAGUUAGUGUUAAGUCAAUCCCAAAGAAAAGUGUGUGUUCUUCCUCACGGCAGAUGUGUUAUUCACCGUGUUGGAUAGGUAUUUUAUAUUUGGCUUGCAUUUCUCUUGAAGAGAGGCAUGACAUUUUCUGUAAUUGUAACUAACCCAAUUUUUCCACCAUGAAUUUUUGUAAUUAUAGAACAUUACUAAUAUAAUUGAAGUAAUAAAAGCAAAGCGAACGGCCUAGAUUAUAUCUCUGGGUUGUAUCGAAAGGUUUAAAGUGUGUGGUUUUGCUGUACAUCACACUGGAUAUAGUUUGGAAGUGAUCACACACGGAAGAUACCAGAUACCCCAUCAUCACCAGCUGAGGGGUGUAUACCUUUCAUAUGAGCCUACCUCAAAUGACUUCCUUAAAUAGGGAAAUAUGCUGUUUUCCACAAAUGUCCUACAGAUAAAGGUUUGUACAGCCCACAGGUAUCUCCAGUGGGCAAAGUGAAAGUAAAGAAAUAGAAACGUGUUCAAUUGACAAAUUUCUGAUGUAACUGAUUUUGCCUUAAACUGUGUAAGGAUCAAAGAAAAGCUUUGCAGGAUAGAUCCUCCUUGGAAUCAUAGAAUGGGUUGGGCUGGAAAAGACCUUAAGAUCGCCUAGUGCCAACCACCUGCAUGGGCAGGGAUGCCUCACACUAGACCAGGUUGCUCUUGAACAUUGCCAAGGAUGGAGCAUCCAUCAUGGUGAUAAGGAGGCAGAGGACUGCAGUGGUGCUGCCUGGCCUCUGUUGUCGUACAGUUUGUAAUGCAUCUGUCCUGUGGAGCAGGAAAAUGCUAUUAUAUUUAGUUUUCAGAGGGAGAGCUAAGACAGGGACAGAUACCACGGGGCCUAUCUGCACACACAAGGGAACUCUGUAAAAGCUGAAGGGUUGAAGAAAGCUGUGUGGAGGCCUUGGCUAACACCCUAAACCAUUAGACCAUACUCACCAGAUUUAUGUUGCCAAGUCUGUUGCCACUGAAAUCUGAAAGCAAACAUUAGCAGCCAAGAGUAUCAUGCUAAUUAAUUGCCUCAGGAGGACAGGAUUUCCAAGAUCUAAUGAAAGAUGGAAUCCAGCUCCCAUAUGUCCCAUUUGAUGGCCCAAGAAAACAUGCCCACAUUUUUCACAGAAACAGUGACAAAUGUCCAGCUACUUGUUUCUCAGCUGAAUAAAACUAAUCUUCAGCCCCAGAGCUGCAAAUGGCUGCUCAUCAUAGAAUCAACCAGGUUGGAAAAGACCUUUAACAUGAUCAGGUCCAACCGUUCCCAGCUCUGCCAAGGCCACCACUAACCCGUGGCACUGAGGGGCUCGGCUACACGGGGUGUGAACACUUGCAGGGACGGUGACUCCAGCACUGCCCUGGGCAGCCUGUUCCAAUGCCUGAGCACCCUCUGGGGAAGGAAUUGUUCCUCAGCUCCAUCUAAACCUCCCCUGGCACAGCUUGAGGCCAUUUCCUCUUGUCCUAGCACCCAGCCUGAAAAGCCAGCCCAGGGUCUGUCACACAGGAACUGUUUUGAUUCACCAUGUCGAAGGCAGCUUCAGAACAGGACAACUGAGCACCAGAGCUCCUCUCUGUGCUGCUGCAUCAGCCAAUAGACCAGCAGGACCCCAUACCUUGCACAUAGCCAGUUCAUUAAUUGGGGGUUGGACUAGAUGAACUUUGAAGAUCCCAUCCAACCCAAACUAUUUUGUGAUCCUAUGAAUCUAUUAUUAAAAUGUUAAUUUUAAUUAUUAUCUUAUUAAUCUAUUAUUAAAAAAUAAAUUAUGCUCUUGAAAAAAUACUGUAAAGAGGACAGAAGCAUCAAUAUCAAUGCAGUUGGCAGUACGUGCCAGCACUGCCUUGCUGUGCUAUGGGCUUAGUUUUGCGUGAACUUGAUAUUCCCGUAGAUGGGAUGUUCAUGCCAGAAGGACAGUUGGUUGCUGGAGAGGGACUCUUCAUCAGGGACUGUAGUGAUAGGACAAGGGGUGAUGGGUUCAAACUGAACCAGGGGAAGUUCAGGUUAGAUCUAAGGCAGAAGUUCUUCCCUGUGAGGGCGCUGAGGCGCUGGCACAGGGUGCCCAGAGAAGCUGUGGCUGCCCCAUCCCUGGCAGUGUUCAAGGCCAGGUUGGACACAGGGGCUUGGAGCAACCUGCUCUAGUGUGAGGUGUCCCUGCCCGUGGCAGGGGGUUGGAGCUGGAUGAUCUUAAGGUCCUUUCCAACCCAAACCAGUCUGGGAUUCUAUAGCCCCAGGGAGACAGCAGGGACUGGAAAACCUGGGCACUCGCCUAAAGAGGGAGGCCUGUCUGUAGAUUAUAGCCCUGUUCUGAAUGGGGAUGUCCUAUCUCCACGUGGCUCUAAGGCAUAUGGAAUUGUUCAGCUUGCGUAAAUUCGUAAUGUUUCUCAUAUUCAUUAUUCAAAGGAUGUGUCUGUUGCCAAGCUGGUUCUCACUUGCACACAUAAGGAAACCUUGUCCUAUGUAAAGACCAGUAUGCUGCUCUGCAGGUGCUGUGGCUGUACCCACAACCUGCCACGUUCGGGGAGAGGUAGGUGUUAGUCUCCACACACAGGAAGGUGGUCCAGCUCUGCUGAUGUGAGGGUUUGAUGCAAUUCCCAGUUCUGUUUGGAUAAAAUUAUCAGGCUGUUGCUGUGCACGCUUCUUUGUUGUACCAUAGAAUCAUAGAAUCAACCAGGUUGGAAAAGACCUUUAAAGGUCAUCCAGUCCAACCGUUGCCCAGUACUGCCAAGGCCACCACUAACCCAUGGCACUGAGGGCCUCGUCUACAUGGUGUGUGAACACUUCCAGGGACAGUGACUCCCUCAGAUCUUACCCUGCAGUGUGAAUGUGUUUCAUGUUUCACAGCAACAGCCCCAGCCCAGCUUUCUUGCCCAGAGGAUGGUAGGGAGCAUCUCGGUGGCCAACCGAACAGAGGGGAAGCUCAGCGCAAACAGGGAAGCAGCAGGAUUGUGGCAGACCCUAGUGUAUAACGCAGGUCUUCUGAGCAUCCCCUUACCCACCCAACCAUCAUUAGUAUGUGCUAAAUGGUCAAUUUCUGGAAACACCCCAAAUUUUCUUCUUCCUCUUUCAUCUUUUCAACAUGAUCCAUGUGAAAUUGCUCAUCUAAAAAGAGUAUCUUGACACCUGGUUUAGUGAAAAUGGCUGCAAGGAGAGCAGGUACAAAUGGCACGGCGAAGUUUUACCUUAAAUAAUGAAGAAAAUCUAUUUUGUUCUAUCGACCCUGAGAUUGAAGAGCAAAAAAAAAAAAUCAUAGGAAGGUCAAGGUAAGUAAUUGUAACACAUAAGGUCUUGUGUAUUUCCUCGAGAGCUCUCAGGUUUGUCCAGAAGAAUGACAUUUCUGAACUUCAAUAAUAUCCACACAGGAGGGCACAUCAUUUUGACAUGUCUCGGUAAAUCAUUUAACACGAUAAGGGCUGCCAUUGUGCAGCCUGUGGGAUAGACUUAGGCACAGCGUAGUUUUCUGCAACUGGGCUUCAAUUUCACUCUAGAUUUUGGGUGACAUAAAGCUCAAAAGGAGCUCCUGAUGCUACUCUCCCAGAGAUGAGAUCAACACUUAUGAGUACAUGUUUUGAUGACACAGCUGAGAAAAUUGAAGUGAUUAUUAUCAUGGAAGGACCAAGGUGAUAAGUACCAUGUUCUGUAUGAACAACUGUCAGUCAGAAAAGCCAACAAAGGUCAUAAUCUGUUAUAUUAAUGUCAUAAAUGUUAUCACACACUGACAUCAUGAUGGUCAACUGGGAUUCUUGUGCUUGUUUCUUUAUUAAGUGCUGCUCUUCUUAAACUUCUCUGUGUCCUGGUCAGACAAGUUGAGUUUUCAUUUUUCUCUCAAAAUAAAGGACUUUCAAGAUUUUCAGCAUGGGUUUUCAGACAGCCGCAUCAUUUUAAGGGUCUUUUUCAGUUAAAGUAACUGGCUGACGUGUCAUAGCAGAAUCCAAGACACCAUGAACAGAGGAGGGAGGAGAAACCAGCAAACACAGUAAUUCCUGACUCUUUAAAUAGUCCCCCAUUGCUUUAUUUGAACUGUUGCCAUCACAUCUGCAUCACUAGGGCGUCUCCAGGCCUCUUGCCCACAUGCUGGGGCUGCUCCAGCUGAGGAUGAGGAGGAGCAGGAUGGCAGAGGUAGGAGCUCCAGUGGUGGCUGCUGCCUGCACCAAGCCAGGACUGUUCCCUGUUGCAAAUCACACCCUUGACAUUCUUCUUGUUGUUGUUGUUUCAGGGUUUUUUAUAUCAAAUAUGAACCAGGGUGAUUCUCAGGAGUUUAUGGCAGUGGAAUGAGAGAGUGUAAAUCGUAUGUCAUGUCUUCUGUGUUGCUGAGCAUUUUCACACCCACAGAGAGCAGGCAGCUCAAUAGAUGUCACCAGUGCAUGGCUCCUCUGAAUUCACUCCAGGUGAAAGGAGUAUCCCCAGGGAUGGAGAGAGUGCUCUCUAAUGAGACUUUCUUCUUGCCAGCACCAAGGGGGGACUGCAUCCAUUGCUGACCAGUUAAGAGCCAGGAGUUGUCACGUUGUGUCAUGUUGUCAUGUUGUGUAAAUACAUGACUGCUUUAGAGCAUGAAGUGUCUGAAGAAUCUUGAAGGGGGCUACAAGGGUGCUGGAGAGGGACUCUGCAUCAGGGACUGGAGCAAUAGGACAAGGGGUGAUGGGUUCAAACUGAACCAGGGGAAGGCCAGGUUAGAUCUAAGGCAGAAGCUCAUCCCUGUGAGGGUGCUGAGGCGCUGGCACAGGGUGCCCAGAGAAGCUGUGGCUGCCCCAUCCCUGGCAGUGUUUAAGGCCAGGUUGGACACAGGGGCCUGGAGCAACCUGCUCUAGUGGAAGGUGUCCCUGCCCGUGGCAGGGGGUUGGAAUUGGAUGAUCUUAAGGUCCUUUCCAACCCAAACCUGGGUUGGAAAGGAUUCUAUGAAAUCUGGGAUUCUAUGAAAUCUGUUCCCAAAACAGGCUCCCAAGCGAGCACAAGGGACGUGAGCUCUGAGCCCAUCCAAAACCAAAGCCUCAUGUCCACACUCACUAACUUUACAAAUUCUGCAGAGGAGUGGCAUCACCUUGAAAUGUGGGUGCAUCGGAGGUGACACAACUACCCCGUGAGCACUGGACACUUGGUUUCCAGCGUUUGGGGGAAUGUUAUGGUAAACUUCAGAAAUGAAGAGAAAUUUAAGGUGAGUUUUCCCGUCCUAUGCAGAGUUCAAAGAGAAAAGCAGGGUAAGUACUGCUGGAAAGUGCCACACUGUAUUUAUUGAGCAUAUCAGAUAGGAGGUAUGGUUUUAUGUCAGCCUUAAAAUUCAGCAUUUCCAGCAGACUCAUGCUGAUGUAUGGGUGCGAUAACAUUGACGCAGGCAGGAGACAGCCACCAGUGAGUCACUGCAGAGUUUCCUCCAGAAGCUGGCUGUCUACAGCAGACAUCCCACUGCACUGCUCAUCUAGUCUGGCUUGUAAAAGUCACCAGCUUGGUCUAGCUUGUACAAUCUACAAAGAAACCAUGUUUGUACCAUGCAGGUAGAUGUUCAAAGUGAAACCAAUACGGGCUAACUUGAAUUGGAGAAGAUAACUGCAAAUCGUUACUUCCAAUGAGAGCAGAAUGCCUGGAACCACAGGCAGGAAAAUACAUUUACAGACUAGGAAAUUAUCUUGGCAAAAUAGUGGAAUGCUUUGUGCUGCCGCACUGUGUGUUCUGAUAGCUGAGGAAAUAAUACUAUGGUGGAAAAGGCUCAGAAUUUCAAAGAGAAAAGCUUUCAUAGCAGAGUGCUUUCACAGGGGAGACAGAGGAGACUGGCUUUUCUGUGUUAGUUAGGGGGAAUACUAAAACCCAAACCAAACAAACAGAAAAAGUAGUUGUUUUUUAUGAUUUAGACCUACAUAGAGUGGCAUCCUAUGAUAAACAAAACCUUUAGCCAAUUUCUCUAGUUUAUAACAUAACCUGCAAAGCCCUUCCUUGUUCAUAUGAGGUUACUUCUCUCUGUGAUUGCAACAAUACUCUUGGCCACAUGUGUUUUCAGAACUGGCAGCAACAAAUCAAGCGGCUAGAGCAGUUUGCAUGUUAUACAGAAGUUUUCAAGCAUGUUUUUAGAGAAAACGCAGCACCCUUUGAAAUUUGGGAACGAAAGCUAUAUACCAUAGUGCUGUUUAUGAUGUCUGUAAAGUGGAUGACACCCAAAGUGCUUUUAGGAUGCUUCAAGGUGUAUCAAAGAGCAUUAGCUUCAGCACAGCUGGAAAUGUCCCCAGAUUCACUUCUGAAUACGUACUUCUUAUUUCUUAUAUCCUACUACAGUUAACACAGGCUUGAUCAUUGUGAAUAAUCCACAGAGUAAGCCUAUUAGGUGAGAUUUAGCAUCUACAUUUUUCUGCUCACAUCUGCUUGCCUGACAUACGUAAUCUGCCAGGAUGUCACAGUUUACAUCCUAUUUUCAUUGGAGGAUAAUGAAACUUGAUGGGUGUCUUCAUCUCCUGCUCCAUCCCUCUAAGAACUGUUUCUGCUUGUCAGCUCCUCCCUACCAGCACUCUUUGGCAUGAUCCUUAGCCAGGUCCUUUAUUAAAGGGGAGUGCACGCAAGGCUUACAGGCAACCACACAAUUUAUCACUGUGCAAAAUGGGUGCAGAAAGUGUUACUUCAAAGACAGUAAGAAAAGAAAAGUGAUGUAGUAAUUUCCUCACCUGAAUGUUGUGGACUUCCUUCUCUCUGCUACAAACACAUGAGAUACACCAGAUACAGAGCUCUGGUGUAUCGCUCUUUGAGCAGUAAUCAGUCAGCAGGAGCUUUCUGAAGACUUUCUUUUCCUUUUAAUUCUUACAAAACUGAACUGGAGGCACUUCAGGAAUUUUAGAUCAGCUCAGUCCGAGAGGUAAAUUAAAAUUAGGGAAAAUUAGACCAUUUCUAAUGAGAUGGUUAUUACACUGGAUAAUGAUGAUUAUUGGUUCUGCUUAAUAAAACUGUCAGCCAAUGCAAAAUAUAUAUUAAGUGGAAUUACAUUACAUUAUAUUUCUAUCAACGCAGAAAUUCAGUGCAUUGCUUUCCCACAAACCAUGGGCAUAACGGAAUGUUAGACAGUGCUCCCUUUUCCAAAUAAGAUGAAACGUGGAGCUUUCAAAACCAGCCUUUAAAAGCCCAGAUUUAAAGCCCAUUAAAUCUAAUGUGGUGAAGAUUCACGCUGACUUCUGUGCCAUGUAGAUCAGGACAUCACUAAAACGAGCAGCGUUCUCUCCUGUUCUCUGUGCUAAAUAUCUAGAUAAUACUACUGUGGUGACUAUUUGACAGUAUUAUUAGCCUGCUAAAGAAAAAACCUCAUAGAUCACACAUUCCCAGCAACCUUGCCUCACUGAGCUCAUUGCUUGCCCAUUCACCUGCUCUUGUGUUCUGAUUUACCUGGCAAAUUAGGAGAUGGACUCAUCGGGUGUACUACACUUUAUUUCCAAGGUGAAAACAAUGAGGAAAAACUAUCUGUUGUUAGCUAAAAAAUGAGAUGCCGCUGUGCAAAACUCAGCAUUGAAGGUGCUUAGAGGUGAGGCAACUCCCCAGGAGCCAGGUUGGACAGGGCCUUGGGCAACAUGGUUUAGUGGAAGGUGUCCAUGCCCGUGGCAGGGGGCUGGAAUUGGAUGAUCUUAAGGACCCAAACCAUUCUAUGAGCCUGCUGGCUCUCCAGAGGCUGGGAAGUGAGGACACUCAGCAUUUUCUAGUUUAAAAGCAGGACAUAACAUCAAACCUUGCCUUGAGCAAGGUCUGCUGUGCUGAGGAAUGAGAGCCAGCUCUCUGGGAGGGUGACUGCCUGCCUCUGCAUCCAGGCCCCAUAUAGCAGUAAACUGCCAAAGGGGGGGGAAGAAAGAAGGGAGGAAGCCAAGAGCACAUUGCUGCUCCCAGACAUUCUCUGUGUAGGGUUUCAUCUAGUAGGAUAUGUUUUUGUGGAAUAUUUUGAUAUAAACUAAGCAACGUAGAAAUGGUGUUUACUGCAGCUACACUAGCAGUGUAUUUUGUAGAUUCUGAGGGACUAAACAAGCAUAACAACUGCAUGACUAGAUAUGCCCCCGUGCCAUUUGAUCCAGUGAACUGGGGCAUGGAGGUGAGCGAGACUUAGAGCACAGAUUUCCCUAUAUAAUAUUAUUUCUUGGAGGAAAUAAAUGCUUAUUACAAACAGCAAUGCAUUAUCUUGAACGAGGAUGAUAAUGUGGUUAAUAAGUCACAACACAUGUGAUUAUAAGGUUUUUAUCAUGCUUUGAAACAUCUACUAACCGAUACGAUUUCUCGUUUUAUGAAGCCCAUUUUGUCGAGUUCCAUAAACAAGGUUCAACAGUCACAAUUUCAUUAGCAUUAUAUUGUUGCCAUGGUAAUGUGGUACCAAUUCAAUUGAUGGGCUUUUCAUCCUGGGCUUAUUAUAGAAUUGCUCUUCCUGUCAAAGAUACAUCUAUAUGGAAACAGCAAACAGACCUUAUCAUCUGAAUAUUAGCACCAAAUUUCGUCGUAUGCUAAUUUGGAUGGGAACGGAGCAUGUUAUUGGCACCGGAUCCACAACCCAUCAGAAACACGAUGGAAGUUACUAAACAUCACACAUGGCAAAGUCACACUCUAAAAUUAGGAAAAUUACUUGCAUUGUUUGCUGCAGUAUCUGAAUUUGUGAUCGCAAAAAGCACUUGGCUCUGCCGUGAUCAUUCUCUGUAACGCUGGCGGGAGGGCACAGUGCUGCAGGUGGGAAUAUUAAAGCGGGAAAAAAAGCAGUUACAAACGCUAAGGGAUAAAACGUGAGCUGAAGGGAUGUUGGUUUUUCUCCUGUUUGCACGUUCUUCAGCAUGUUUGGGGGGAAAUCGCUGUUAAAUACAACGCUUCGGUUACCUGGUCUUUAGAAUGGGGAUAAUGACCCCCUUCCCCCUCUGGUGUAUGCCCGAUAACAAGUGAUAGCAGGUACUGCUAAAACAUCGUUAUUAAGUGAAGUAGCAAUGGCUUUACCAGCUCCAGGAAAAUACACUGCACACAGCUACAAUUUGAGAGACGUCCCUGGGAGAACGUGGACUCACCCAGGGAAACACAGGAGAGUUGGCAAGAAAGAGCAGGCAGCAGAACAUGUGUGCUUAUGAAGGAAAGAUACUCACAUCAUUACAAAAUCAUGCCAGUUUGUAGGGGUUUUAAAAAUAAAGACUAUUGUAGGCUACAGGACAAGUGUCUGCAGCAAUCUGAGCAAGGAGAGCAGCAAUACAAUACAAGGCAACAGCGGGGUGCCUUGUUUAUUGUAUGUUGAAACGUUUUCUUGUAUAUUUUCACUGGGUUUUGAUGAUUGUUUCCUAUUUAGAUAGGAAAUAUCUUUUUCCAUCCUGACACAUAAUGUUCAGUCUAUCAUUUCUUAGCUUAAUCAUGUUGCGUCCUUUGCAGCCGCGAAGGUAAAUUACAGGCAGGAUAGUAUUCCACAUAAUCAAAGAUGUGCUCCAUUUUACAUGAUAAGUUUUGUCUGAUUUAAAAGGCAGCAUCUUCUCCAGCUGAAAAGGAAAGAGAAACCUUCGCUUGCAGCUAAGAACACCUCAGAGGAGAGGCUUCUCCUCCAUUAGGAUCUGAUCGUUCAUACAAAAACCUGACCAUUGUUACUACUAUUAUGUCUUUAUUUACUUUCACCCUGAUAGAGCCACAGGACCCAGCUGAGACUGGCAUCUACUUGUGCUAAGCACAGCAAAGCCACACAGAGAGCCACGCUCCCUUCUUUAGACAAAUUAUAAGCUUAAGAGGCACGAGAAAGACCAGAGAGGAAAGAAAAAUAGAGAGAGGUGGGGAGAGCCAGCUUAAAUCCCUGGCUAAAGGUCAGGGUGGCAGAAGCAGAGCAGAUCUCCAGCCUGGAUUUCCUCCAUUGGGAUGCUGCCCCACUGGGCUGAAUGGGAUAUUUAGAGCUAUCCUCCCCCAAAUUCAGAGGAUUCAGACCCUAACCAUACACAGAACCACACAGAAAUUAGCUUUCCCCCCCUCAUUUCAAUGCCUGCACCUAUGUUGCUGAGCAGGGGCAGGCCGAGGCAAAGCUCAAAGUCAGCUGUGCAGCCCACCCGUAUUACCUAUUAAAACACCUUCAGGCUGGCUUCAGGGCAACCCUGUUAAUCCUCCCAGGGACAAAGGCUCAGGAAUACCCUGUGUUUCCGAGCAUGUUCAAGGGCAGCGGGGUCAGGGUACCUGCCAGAGGAAUAUUAAUGGGUUUCCACACCACAUCCGAGGCAGCAGGGAUCAGCCUUUCUGCCUCUGUGGUAGGGACUUCCAAACACAAGCCUGAACAGAUGGAGGGAGGAGCGGGGAGAGUGAGAUUUCGGUCACGGGAGCAAAAAGUCAGUAUUGCACCAGGAUUUGAAGGCUUUGAUCACAAGAAAUACGAUGUCUUAGAUGAGGAAAGCGUUGCCUUGGAGUUUUUCUUGCUUUCUCCCUCUCUCUUAAAAACCUGUAUAAUGUAAAACUGUUAAACUGGGGGAGGAGACGUUCAUCUUCUGAUCAGUAAAUACUUCCUUUUGCUGUGUGGUGCCUGCUGACUUUACUGCUGCUGCAGCCUUUUACAAUGCUUCCAGGAAAUCUCAUUAGAGUUUAACUUUAUUUUCUUUUAUUAUUAAGGAAUCUGAGGACAGUUUCUAAUAAUCCCGAUUUAACUUUUUAAUAAAACCUGCAAAUAAUAUGCCUGCAUGGAUUUGAUCUCAUAUCCAUAGCUGAUAAAAACUCUGAUCUGUAGUCAAAUUCAUUAGCCAGGGCUCUGUUGUCAUCAUAUUGAUGACUAUAAAAGCUGGCAGCUUUAAAACUGCAAUAUUAGAGCAAGGCUGUAUUUUUGUUUUCUAACGGUUUUGUGUUUUCCAUUCAGUAUGGGUGAAGAUUAAGAUUUCACAUGCAGAAGUAAUAUCCAUUAUGAUGGGAUUGUCCAUGAUGAAUUGAGUGGGACAUUUGCUUAAUUAAAAGUAUUUAUCUUAGAUGAUUUAAGAAGUCUGUCCUACUAUGGAACUGAUGAUGUAAAUGAGUUUCCUUUAAUCAGUUCACUACUGAGGACUCUCCUUAGACUGAAGAGAGGAAGAAAAAGGUAAGAGGAGAGUGAGCAGGGCAGGGUGCAGGAGAGCAGAGCUGCUGUGGCUGGGGAAUUUGGGCAGAGAAUGGGGAGCAGAGCCAAGGCAAAGGGCAGAGAUAUAGGAAGUGCUCUGACCUGCGCCCCUGGGUGAUUUUAGGCAUCUGUUUAUAACAACAUACCUUUAAGGGAGAGCCCUAACUGGUGGAGUGUUUCAACCUAUUUCAAUGUUACAGCCUAAGUCUCCUGGACUAGCCCAUCUUCCUUCCUCACCAUGCCAAAUGACCCAUGGAAAGCUGUAGAUCUUCAGUCUGUGGGGACAACCGAACAUCGGCAACUUCUGGGAAUGCUGCUGCAAGGUGAGCCUCGCACCCUGCCUAUGCUCUGUGCUCCCAGAUGUUUGGUUCCACGAUGGCAGAAGGAGCAACAUCUGGAGUUCUGCUGCUCCCACCGGACACCCAACUACCAGACCCCGACCCAGUGUGACUGCUUCUGGCAUCUGCUGGUGGAGAUGCUGCUGGGGCUGGCUUUGCCCUGCUUGCUGCUGUCUGCUUGUCUUAUUCUUCUGAGUUAUACCCCAGCCCACUCCUGUCGUUUUGUGCAUCUGCCUCUGGGCCGUGUUGAGUUUUCAAUUAUCCCCACAUAGAGAUGCUACGUAAAACAGCGUGCGGGGCUCGAGCAGGCUGAACGCAGUAGAAAUACACUUAAAUAAAAAGUACUGCUAUAAUACCAGGAGGCUGAUUGGAAGCACAAGAUAGCAGUGUCAUAUCCUGUGGCUUUUAUGUUGGUAGAUGUAGAUUUUAGCCAUUAAAGUCUAGCUAUCCAACAAAUAACAACCAGAGGAAAUGGAUCUGGGUGUCUUUGGUUGUGAAUAACAUACACUUUCACCAGUAAAUGUAGGACAUGGUAAAUUGCCACAAGACAGACUUUUGAGAUACCUACAAACAUAAUCAGGCAUGUAAUAUGUGGUAGCAUCUCUGUGUAACUUAAAGAAGCUCCCUGUGGUUGGAACUAGAUGAUCUUAAAGUCCUUUCCAACCCCAACCAAUCUACAAUUCUAUGAUUCUACUCACAAUAUGUUUAAAGCAUACGUCAAGAGAGCUCUUACCUCAGAGAACCAAUGUGUGGUUCCGUUGGCAACUCCAAAUUCAGGCACGGAAACAAAGAGCAAGUGCAGGUCUCAACGUCUGUACAUGUACAAGCAGUAAAAUCUCCCCCAAAUCAGGUAUCAUGAUUCCUAGGUGGGGGUAAAAUGCUAUGACAAAGGAGGGGCAAAUAAGCAUAAAAUACACUAACGUAAAAUGUGCCUGUUAUUAACCUCUAGAAGAGCUCAACAGCCCGAAUUGUAGAACGUGGUAUGUAGACAAAUGUAAAGAGAGCAACACAUUAAGCGUGUUUUUCUCCAGAGCAAAAUGAAAUAGGCAUACGGUGCAAAUUAUAAUAUUUAGUACUUUCAGGGCAAAUUCUAGUUGAGGAUCACAAAGUAAUUUGAAAGUAUUAAUGAAUUAGCCUCACAGCUAGCUUUCAGGUAGAUAAUAAUGAUAAUUAUUACUAUAAAUACAUAUUAUUAUUAUCAUUCAUCCUCCGAAGAAAUGAAAAUUGAGGCCUAGAGAAUUUAUAUAUUUGUCCAAAGUCUGUGUUUUAUUCCUGUAACCAUCCUCCUCUAGAACCAUUAUAUAUCAAGUUUAUUAUUUUCCAAAUACUGCAUGAGAUAUACGAUGCAGUUUAUGAGCUCUAAACCCCAACCAGCUGAGCUCCCUUACAAAACAGUGCCUGUGAACAUCUCCAUUUGCAUUUGAAUUCUCAAGCAGCAACAAUCCUGCUUAAAAAAAAAAAAAAAACCUAUGAAGAAAAAAGGAAUCAUGAAAAUCAGUAGAAAAUCUGUCAAGGCCCCAUCUGUGAGUGGGUAUCAGAAUAGCGCUAAGAAGCUCUGAGGAACAAAGUUCAUCCCAAGUCUAACGCAUAGUGCUUUCUGGUCGAUGAAAUGAAUUCAAGCAGGGUGAAAUGAGGGCACAUACCAUGAAAAAGUGUGUUCCCCCACCGAGGAGUGAAGGAAAGCAGCAUUUCUGCUGCGUGUGUGGUCUUGGUGCAUGUAGCCGUGCUUACAUACUAAAGGUCUUACAAAGGAAAAUACUCAGUGUGCUCACGUCUCCUUUUGAAAGCCACACUUCUUUGGGGAGCAUCAGGGAAUGAGUGAUCUCUGGUCCUGACAAGAUGAGGACUUGGAUUAUGUAUGCUUGUUGCAAAAAGCAAGCUUUCAUAGCCAGCUACCUGAAGUAGUAUGGAAACAAAAUUAGAGAGUUUCCACGCUGGCCUUGAAAAUGCCCACACAAACAUGUUGAUUUCCUUCUGAAUGGGAAUAUAUAAAGGUUAGGGACACUUAUUCGUAGGCUAUUUAUAUAUAUCCUCUCAGGAUCUGAAUUGCUAAGAGCCUUGGCCUUAGCUUUUUGCUCUCACACAUGCGAUAUUUGGAACUAACGACAGCAAAGGGGGGAACCACAGCGUUAACACCAUUCUAAUGCACCAGAUUAUUUUUCUGUCCCUUUUUUCUAACCAUUAGAGUAUGCAAAUGUUCCAUUAACUGGUCCUCAUGUUUUCCCUUUAUUGAAUUGCUUUCACGAUGGCAAAUAAAUAUUCAUAAAGAAGUGCGGACAAUAAAUCAUUUCAAAUAGUUCAAAGCCAUUUUCUUCCUAGGCUGCAUAUAUAUUCAGCUGUGACUCGCCUUUAAUAUUUCAUUCAAAAAGAGAGACUUGUAGAAGGACAAUACAGAUAAUGUGUCAAGUAGUAAUUAAAACAGGGGGUAAUGAUUAAAACCAUUUUGAUCUGCAUUGUACUCUGUCAAAUUCAUCAUCUCCUGUGUUUGUUAAGAUGACUUUCUACUUCCUUUAUACAGAAACUCAAAAUAAACUUCUUUUUGAAGACA